UUACGUUUAGUUGCUAACGCGUGAAGGCGAGCACUCUAGACGAACUGCCGUUGACAAAACGGAGGAAGGUGGGAUGACGUCAAAUCAUCAUGCCCCUUAUGUUCUGGGCUACACACGUGCUACAAUGGCCGGUACAGACGGACGCAAAGCCGCGAGGUGGAGCAAAUCCUAAAAAGCCGGUCUCAGUUCGGAUUGCAGGCUGCAAUUCGCCUGCAUGAAGUCGGAAUCGCUAGUAAUCGCAGGUCAGCAUACUGCGGUGAAUACGUUCCCGGGCCUU
rnacentral:rRNA from 1 species